rnacentral:rRNA from 1 species
UACGUAGGGUCCGAGCGUUGUCCGGAAUUAUUGGGCGUAAAGGGCUCGUAGGCGGUUGGUCACGUCGGGAGUGAAAACUCAGGGCUCAACCCUGAGCGUGCUUCCGAUACGGGCCGACUAGAGGUAUGCAGGGGAGAACGGAAUUCCUGGUGUAGCGGUGGAAUGCGCAGAUAUCAGGAGGAACACCGGUGGCGAAGGCGGUUCUCUGGGCAUUACCUGACGCUGAGGAGCGAAAGCGUGGGGAGCGAACAGG